AUCAAGAUGGCCAAGUUGGUCUAAGGUGUCAGUUUCAGGUACAGGUCCGAAAGGAUAUGGGUUCGAAUCCCAUUCUUGACA
rfam:Picea glauca, whole genome shotgun sequence.